rnacentral:other from 1 species
UGAACCCUGCUUUGUUCGUGAUAGUCGGAAAUAUUUGAGCCAACAAACUCAAAUGAGGAAGAGUUCUGAUCCGGGCAACCGGUUAAUGGAUUCUCCCUACUUGAACCUAAAGGUUCAAAUCUCCUCUCUACACGGCAAAGCGGGGUUUUU